rnacentral:tRNA from 1 species
GUUAUUAUAGCUUAAAAAUGCUAAAGCGCGGGCACUGAAGAUGCUGAGAUGGGACUUUUAAACAACCCUAAAAACA